GUAGAUCAAGUUCACCAUUUUCUCAUAAGCCCCAAACGAUACAAUACAAAUCUCAGAACUGGUUAAGAUCAGCUGGCAGUGAACAAAAUGAUCACUCUGCUGACAUCACAAUGACUGUUCUUUUGCAUAGCUGAUGACCCUGCCUGGUAUACAGGGCUGCUGAGAAUGUAUCAAUUAGCUCAGAUGCUACUGACUUGACAAGAAACCCUUAUCAUAAGCAGGAUGACAAGGUAUAUUCAAGAAGGUGCUGAGAGAGAAGUUUUUCCAUCAGCCUCAUCUGAAUGAGACAUACUUCCCCAGAGAAAUGCUUAUUUUUCAGCAUGUCAGCUUCCAUCUCAACAGACGAAGAGGUAAAAACUGGAGUCAUAUUGAGUAGGUCUGAAAUUGUCUACCGUGCUAAGAUCGUGUUCAGUCUGUCAUCUACUUUCCUCAAGAAGAAUCACCAGCCGUGGAGAAAUAGGAAGCUAGAGAUCAGGGGAAGCUGAGAUUCAGAAGCUCUAAGCAAAGGCAAUGGCUCCGAUGACUUAAUCGGCUGACGUGAAGUAGAUAAGAUUAUAUUUGUACUGCAGCAGGGAAUGGUCGAGGUUUAAUUGUGUUGGUAAACAGAGCACAGUGGCUGCCUUGGAAUCUCUGCAGAUGUCUCAGAAUUAUUCAGCAGCAAUUUGGAACGUGACUCCUACAUCUUUCACUGAAAUGAAAAUUGCUUCAUGGCAGGGCAGAAGCCUUGGUGCUGGAACUGGAGAUGCAGUAUUACCUUAAUACCCCAAAGAAUCUGUCACUUAUCCUGGAGGAAGAAGACUGGGCAAAUUUCUGCGAGAUGAACUGCGAUCUCCUCCAUGCCAGGUGUCCGUGUUUUCUGAGAGAGAUUGCUCAUUGCUAAGUAUCAAGAAAUCCUCUUUGCUAGUCCUCAGGAACCCCAGGAGGCAGUAGGCAAGGCUGCAAGUAGGCAGGUCACUGAGAAAGAACUUGCAUUUGGAUAGUGGAAUUCAGGGAUGUUUUCGGAAGCAGCAAGAUUUCUGUUGGAUCCAAGGGAUUAUUCACUGGGGACUGAAAUAAAAACAUUUCUCUCACUGUGGGAAAAUCCUGAACAACAUUUCAGACUCUCAGGAUGAAAAAAUAUAUUGGCAUUGCAGCUAGAAUGGAGGUGUUUGCCACAACAGCCUCUCUGCCCCCAAGGGAUUAAGCUUUGGUUAGUUUCACCAUGGUCGUGAUGAAGAACAGCUCUGAUGUUCUGAUGUUGAAAGCAUCAAAGGCUGAUCCCCUCAGCUGAGCAGUGACACACAGUCACUUGGCAGCCAGGCUUCCGGAGCUCCCACCCCCAGCAUCCAAAGCCCAGACCCUCUGAAUCGACCCUGCGUUAUUAGUGGCCAAUAUCCCACUCGCUAGACCGUGGCUACCUGGGCUAUUCCUUAGCUUGCAUUUAUCCCUCUUCCUCCCUGUCUGUCUACGAAGCCACCCUCUGACCCCUACACCUCUGACAGGGACACAGACUUGUCCUUUCCUAAGCCCCUCUCUGCACCAGCUGCAAAGUUCAAAGCCUGUGGAAGGCGAGUCUCAAGAAAUACACAUCACAUCCAUUUCCAGAAGGCUGGAAAACAUGGUUUCCAGAAAGUGUUUUUUUCAGCAGCUUCAUCUUUUUUUUUUGAUUGCAAAAGCGAUCUGUGUUCACUGUUGACAUUUCAACAACUCAGAAGGAUAUAAAGGAGAAAGCAGAGAUUGCUACAGAGCCAUUCCUGGAGAGAUUCCCUCAGUUAAUAUUCUACUGGUGAACGUAUGCCUAGAUAUCCAAGUAGCUUAACACUCCACCUCGCUUGGACCCCACUCUGAAUGUGGCCCUGUCACCUGCUCUCCCCUCUCCAGGGGGAUCGUGGUCACCUUUCCCACUUAGAGACUUCUUAAAGCAUCUCUCCGAAUUAAACAUAAAUUCUGAACCUCUUCCAAAUGCUUUCCUUAAAACACAAGAGCUACACACGGGUGACAGUACAGUGUUUGAUUCAAACUCUGCUUUUAAGCUAAAUUGAACACUAAAAAGAUGGCUGAGAACCAACUUCGGACAGCCACAAGCAGCUUUGGGAGAUAAGAACCUUUCUUUGCGAUUUGGAUAAAGCAAAAGCAUGAUCUCUUUGCCUCCUUUGUUUUUAGAAAUUAAUAGAGCUUUUCCAACAGACCGCCCCUUGCCACAAAUAGUGAACAGUCAAAUCACGGCUUUUAUUCCCAGCUCACUACGUCAAGUAAAUAGAAGCUUACAGGAUAGACCAGGGAACGAUAAGCAAUUCUCACUGCAGCGAAUUCUUAAUAUAUAAAUUCAUCCAGCAGCAGUUUAGUAUCUACUGGCAAAACCAGAAACAAUGGGGAACAGGCAGGCCUGGCUCUGACGAGGUCAACCAUCAAGGUUAUCUAUAUUCAAUUACUGGUAUCUACAAACUUGCAUAGCUGUCAGCUGGUCAGGGCCCAAAUGAAAACUCACCAUGCACUCAGAAAGCAAAUAUAGUUUCCGAGGAGAGCCUCAAAUUAGCUCUGUGAAUGACUUGGCUUCAAACGCACACACAAGCCAUCAGCCUUUGGGGACGUUUCUGCCGGCAGCGCCUCAAUGUCUAAAUUUGGGCAUCAUCUUAUAAAUCUCUGUUCCUGAAGUAGGAAAGGACUGGAAUUGCUCCUUAACCCUUGGCGACGAUAAAUUAUAUCACUUAACAAUAGAUAAACUUCAGACACUUUUCCUGUACUGCGGACCUAUUGUG